CCCAAUUGAUUGACGGUGCUUGCACCUGAUUGAUUUUCGUCUGCCAACGAGUGGCGGACGGGUGAGUAACACGUAGGUAACCUGCCCAGAAGCGGGGGACAACAUUUGGAAACAGAUGCUAAUACCGCAUAACAACGUUGUUCGCAUGAACAACGCUUAAAAGAUGGCUUCUCGCUAUCACUUCUGGAUGGACCUGCGGUGCAUUAGCUUGUUGGUGGGGUAACGGCCUACCAAGGCGAUGAUGCAUAGCCGAGUUGAGAGACUGAUCGGCCACAAUGGGACUGAGACACGGCCCAUACUCCUACGGGAGGCAGCAGUAGGGAAUCUUCCACAAUGGGCGCAAGCCUGAUGGAGCAACACCGCGUGAGUGAAGAAGGGUUUCGGCUCGUAAAGCUCUGUUGUUAAAGAAGAACACGUAUGAGAGUAACUGUUCAUACGUUGACGGUAUUUAACCAGAAAGUCACGGCUAACUACGUGCCAGCAGCCGCGGUAAUACGUAGGUGGCAAGCGUUAUCCGGAUUUAUUGGGCGUAAAGAGAGUGCAGGCGGUUUUCUAAGUCUGAUGUGAAAGCCUUCGGCUUAACCGGAGAAGUGCAUCGGAAACUGGAUAACUUGAGUGCAGAAGAGGGUAGUGGAACUCCAUGUGUAGCGGUGGAAUGCGUAGAUAUAUGGAAGAACACCAGUGGCGAAGGCGGCUACCUGGUCUGCAACUGACGCUGAGACUCGAAAGCAUGGGUAGCGAACAGGAUUAGAUACCCUGGUA
rnacentral:rRNA from 1 species